UUUAGACCUCAAAUCAGGUGGGAUUCCCGCUGAACUUAAGCAUAUCAUAAGCGGAGGA
rnacentral:rRNA from 1 species